GGCCAAAGGAUCCUGGACUACAGUCUUUGAAACUGUAAAUCAAACUAUGCUGUCCACUGAGACUGUGAUGAAAAGCAUUCCUACCCUAAGAAGACUGGUGAGCCUGUCGACAACACAAACCCAGGGAUUUCCGGUAAGAGUAUCCAUAUCACACUCGUGCAAAACCUUUCACUUAGAACCAGACAGCCAAGACCUCUCUCUAACAAUGGCCAGGAUGUCAGGGAUGAAAGGCAAAAGUGUGCAGAUGUCCUAUGAUCUCAGCAAGACAAAGCCAACCAACCAACAAACAAACCAACAAACUCCAUAUCUACUGGCUGAGAGACUCUACUGAGACAGAGAGGAAACCUUGAGUCUUUUCAUCCAUAAUACUAUGCAAGUGAAAACACCUUCGUCCUGGAACAAUUAUCAUGAAGCUGUCUUUGCUUUUGUCUGUAGAAUCAGACUCCUACUAUGAAGAAUAAAGACUAACCCUUUUUGAUUU